UACAGAGGGUGCAAGCGUUGUUCGGAAUUAUUGGGCGUAAAGGGCGCGUAGGCGGUGCUGUAAGUCUGUAGUGAAAUCUCUGGGCUCAACCUCAGAGUCUGCUAUAGAAACUGCAGUGCUGGAGUGUGGGAGAGGUGAGUGGAAUUCCCGGUGUAGCGGUGAAAUGCGUAGAUAGUCGGGAGGAACACCUGUGGCGAAAGCGGCUCACUGGACCACAACUGACGCUGAGGCGCGAAAGCUGAGGGGAGCAACAGGGAUUAAGA
rnacentral:rRNA from 1 species